GCCGUAGGGCAUGGUGACACAUGCCCGUAAUUCCAGCUCCUUGGGAGGCUGAACCAAGAGAAUCACUUGAGCCCAGGAGUUCUGGGCUGUCAUGCUGCGCCAACGGGCUGUCCACACUAAGUUCAGCAUCAAUAUGGUGACCUCCCAGGAGUGGGGGACCACCAGGUUGCUUAAGGAGGGGUGAACCAGCCCAGGUUGGAAACGGAGCAGGUCAAAACGCCUGUGUUGAUCAGUACUGGGAUCGUGCCUGUGGAUAGCCACUGCACUCCAGCCUGGGCAACAUAGCGAGACUGUCUCU
ensembl:misc_RNA Metazoa_SRP Metazoan signal recognition particle RNA